rnacentral:rRNA from 1 species
AGAUUGAACGCUGGCGGCAUGCCUAACACAUGCAAGUCGAACGGGAGUAGCAAUACUCUAGUGGCGGACGGGUGAGGAAUACGUAGGAAUUUGCCCUUAAGUGGGGGAUAACCCGGGGAAACCCGGAUUAAUACCGCAUGACCUCGAAAGAGCAAAGUGGGGGAUCGCAAGACCUCACGCUUUUGGAGAAGCCUACGUCGGAUUAGCUAGUUGGUGAGGUAAUGGCUCACCAAGGCGACGAUCCGUAACUGGUCUGAGAGGAUGAUCAGUCACACCGGAACUGAGACACGGUCCGGACUCCUACGGGAGGCAGCAGUGGGGAAUAUUGGACAAUGGGCGCAAGCCUGAUCCAGCAAUGCCGCGUGUGUGAAGAAGCCUCGGUGUAAGACACUUAA